UAGGAUUUGGUUAGGAUUUGGUUAGGAUUUGGUUAGGAUUUGGUUUAGAAUUUGGUUUAAGGUUUGAUUUAGGGUUUAGGGUUUAGGGUUUGGAUUAGGGUUUAUUUUAGGAUUAGGUUUCAAUUAGGGUUUGUUUUAGGAUUAGGAUUUGAUUAGGAUUUAGUUUAGGAUUUAGGAUUUGGAUUAGGGUUUGAUUUAGGGUUUAGGAUUUGGUUAGGUUUGUAUCAAGGUUUGAUUAGAGUUUAGUUAGGGUUUGAUUUAGGAUUUGGUUGAGAUUUGGUUUAAGGUUUGUUUAGGGUUUGAUUUAAGAUUUGGUUUAGGAUUUGGUUAGGAUUUAGGAUUUAGGAUUUGGAUUAGGGUUUGAUUUAGGUUUAAGGUUAGGAUUAGGAUUUAGGAUUUAGAGUUGGGAUUAGGAUUUGAUUUAGGAUUUAGGAUUUGGUUGGAGUUUGGUUUAAGGUUUUUUUAGGGUUUGAUUUAGAGUUUAAGAUUUUAUUAGGAUUUAAGAUUUAAUUAGUUUGGACCUAAAGUUUGAAUGAGGUUCAAUAGGAUUUUAACUAGAAUUAAAUUAAGAUUGAAUUGAGAUGUAUUUGAGUGAUAUUUAUCAUCCUUCUAAUAUUUCUUUAAGAAUUCUUAUUGUUUGUUUGAAAUUUCUUUGAGGUUUUUUUGAAUUUGAUUAAGCUUGCUUAGCAUUAUUAUGGUCUAAUUAGAGAAUUUUUAGUAUUCUAUUAGAAUUAGAAUUUUUUUAUUGCAAUUUCCAUUCUUUCUUCCACAGCCAAGUGC
rnacentral:lncRNA from 1 species